UUAAUCCUGUCCUUUUAGCAGAAAAUUUUCAAAAUUUAUUUUGUUCCUUUUUUAUCCAUAAGAUAACACCGUUUUCCAAAGGUGGAUAUCUCCUACUUGUUUAUUUAGUUAGUGUUUGCAACAAAGAGCAGAAGUCUUCCCUGCUUGCAAGAAUGGAGCAGACACACUGGGAGGAUGGAAGAGAAUGCAUGUAAUGGGAGAUGCACUUGGUUAACUGAGGCAAAAUCAUCAGCCCUAGAAAAUUAAAGCUACAACACAAUAAAAUCCCAGAUUUUUAGGUGACUGGCCACUGAGCAACAAAUGCAGAUCAUGAAGCUAUGCAUACUACAUGGCGUCAUCUCUCUCUACAGUGCCAGAUUGCUCCAUUCUUGUGAUUAAGUAGGGUAUUGGAUCCAUGUGAACUGCAGCACUCUCACAACUCCCUCCCCAGCCACUUUAGUCUGACCUACUAGCGAACUGGAGUCAUUCCCAUUCUCAUGAAUCAGCAGAACUCACUUACUCUCCACCUCCCCUGUUGGCAGCAGGCCUGCAGUAGACAGCAAGCAUCUAUCCUGAGACUAGCACAAGAGGC